UUCAGGUGAGGCUCCCUUCAGGUGAGGCUCCCUUCAGGUGGGGCUCCCUUCAGGUGGGGCUCCCUUCAGGUGGGGCUCCCUUCAGGUGGGGCUCCUGCAGCUGAUGAUUCAAUUCAAAGACACAUGGGCAGCCUGACCAAAACAAGAUGAAGAGCUGUUAGCAUGUCUGCUACACACAAACUGAAUGUUAACUUUCA